GACAAAGGUGCCGAGCGUUAGGCGGAAUCACUGGGCUUAAAGCGUGUGUAGGCGGCUCCGCCAGUAACUUGUGAAAUCCUCCGGCUCAACCGGAGAACUGCCUCGGAUACUGCGGGUCUCGAGGGUGAUAGGGGUAUGCGGAACUAUCGGUGGAGCGGUGAAAUGCGUUGAUAUCGAUAGGAACUCCGGUGGCGAAGGCGGCAUACUGGAUCACUUCUGACGCUGAGGCGCGAAAGCCAGGGGAGCAAACGGG
rnacentral:rRNA from 1 species